CUUUCCCUCUUUCUUCAGGCCUAACACAUGCAAGUCGAACGGUAACAGGAAGAAGCUUGCUUCUUUGCUGACGAGUGGCGGCCGGGUGAGUAAUGUCUGGGAAACUGCCUGAUGGAGGGGGAUAACUACUGGAAACGGUAGCUACUACCGCAUAACGUCGCAAGACCAAAGAGGGGGACCUUCGGGCCUCUUGCCAUCGGAUGUGCCCAGAUGGGAUUAGCUAGUAGGUGGGGUAACGGCUCACCUAGGCGACGAUCCCUAGCUGGUCUGAGAGGAUGACCAGCCACACUGGAACUGAGACACGGUCCAGACUCCUACGGGAGGCAGCAGUGGGGAAUAUUGCACAAUGGGCGCAAGCCUGAUGCAGCCAUGCCGCGUGUAUGAAGAAGGCCUUCGGGUUGUAAAGUACUUUCAGCGGGGAGGAAGGGAGUAAAGUUAAUACCUCUUCUCAUUGACGUUACCCGCAGAAGAAGCACCGGCUAACUCCGUG
rnacentral:rRNA from 1 species